AUUGAACGCUGGCGGCAUGCCUUACACAUGCAAGUCGAACGGUAACAGGUCUUCGGAUGCUGACGAGUGGCGAACGGGUGAGUAAUACAUCGGAACGUGCCCAGACGUGGGGGAUAACGAGGCGAAAGCUUUGCUAAUACCGCAUACGAUCUAAGGAUGAAAGCAGGGGACCGCAAGGCCUUGCGCGUUUGGAGCGGCCGAUGGCAGAUUAGGUAGUUGGUGGGAUAAAAGCUUACCAAGCCGACGAUCUGUAGCUGGUCUGAGAGGACGACCAGCCACACUGGGACUGAGACACGGCCCAGACUCCUACGGGAGGCAGCAGUGGGGAAUUUUGGACAAUGGGCGAAAGCCUGAUCCAGCAAUGCCGCGUGCAGGAUGAGGGCCUUCGGGUUGUAAACUGCUUUUGUACGGAACGAAAAGGCUCUGGCUAAUACCUGGGGCACAUGACGGUACCGUAAGAAUAAGCACCGGCUAACUACGUG
rnacentral:rRNA from 1 species